rnacentral:sRNA from 1 species
AUCUAUAUAAAUUACUUAAAUUAACAUUAUCUGUCUGUGUGAUGUAUAUGAAUAUGUAUAUAAAUUUUGAAAAUGCAGUACGGAAAGCUUUCCCAGAUGAUUGAUUACAUGAUUGGGUCAAACUAAUUAAUGCACUUCCACCUAGUAAAAGUGUUUUUUUUAAAGGAAUUUGUAAACAUUUAACUGUUUUUACAUGUUUUAGGCGAUUAAUAAGAAUUAAAUACAUUUUUAAUCAGUUCUAUAACAAUAUUUGUUUCCAAUGGAAAAAAAAAGCAUAUAUUAGUUUUAUGGAUAUAAAAGGUGCUGUAGAGUUCAUAAGGUAAAAUUAAGUUAAAUAUUUUAUUGUAAAAAAACAUUUCUAGGCCCAAAAGUCUGUGACCAGCCUUGAUCAAGAUCCUCUUACAGCAAAUAGGUCAUUAAAGUUGCUGACCAGUACCCAAGAGCAGAAAGAGACGAAUGAAGACAAGCUAUUGCUUCUGUCUCACAUGCUUAUGGAGUUGGACGAUUCUGAGAUGCUGCAACUGUUUGAGUCUCACGAAUCACUUAAACUGAAGGUAACAGAAGCGGUAGCCGUGCUUCAAACUCGUCAAAAGAAGUAAAUUAAUUAAUCAAGAAAGAGUUAAACUUGAUGGUCUUCAACAGAUGCAUAAGUUGUUGUUGUUUUGUGUGUGUGUGUGCGCGAUUUAUUACUUUUUAAAUCUCUUAACUUUAUUUCUGAACUGUGCUGAUGGGAUGCAUCGAGAAUCUGAUUGAUUGUUUUGAUUGGGGAAGGGGGGUCCUCUAUGGCCUAUUGUUAUGUCACAAACUAUUGUUCCUAGUUCCAUAUGUUAUAUAUUUCUAUGUGUUCAGUGAUUGUGGUACAGUGAUUGUGGUACAGUGAUUGUGGUACAGUGAUUGUGGUACAGUGAGGUUUGUAUAAUAUUUCGAUACUUUCUUUACACUUGUAAAAUGUUUUACUAAGAAAAAAAAUCAAAAAAAUCUUUUGAAUAAGUAAAAAGACACAACUUUAA